CAUUCAUGUGCAUUGAUUGACGGUCGUUGUUUAUAUCAGUGACCCCAAGCGCAGAGAAACUGCACUCUCCCUCAAUCACUUGUAAGGUAAAGCGUUUCUGUGUAUCACCGAUAAUAAGACGUAGACUUUGUCUCCUUCUGGCCUCCAUCUGCGUUUUUUUUGCCUGCGUUUUCGCAACGAGAGAAGAGAUUUUCGAGGACGAACUUCAACAAACGAACGACAACUUCGAGGAGUGGGAUUUUCGGAAGGCUGAUGAUGACGAUGGUGAUAACGGGUCGGGAGUUUGCCCAACAGGACACCCUGUAAAACAAUGUACCGACGAUUACUUAAAGUGUCUCAUGGACGCUGACGAUUGUAAGGAAAAGUACGAGUGCUUAAACUUAUAUAACAAAUGUAUAGCUAACACUCGGCCACGUCCCACUCACCGCCCCCGUCCUACCACCAGUGAUCCGUUGAAGUGCUGGCUUGAACGUAAGAAGUGUCUGACGGCUGCUGGCUACAACUGGUUUAAACGUCAGGAAUGCUUUCGGAAGUUCAACCAAUGCAAGUACAACUAGAUGAUGAUAUGGGAAACGUUUAUCAUCAGUCACCAAGGCAACCACAUCCGAAGCAUCACUGAUCUUGAUUGUCCAUUGUGAGACAAAAUCAGACUGAGUCAACUCAAUGUAAACGUACUUUUAUUCAUAUCUUUUUAUCCACCACUUGAAGUUAGAAUAAGUAGUGACGUAUUCUCAUGAUUUUACUAGUGGUAUAUGUCCUCAAUAAAGUAUUGGUUAACGCAAAAA